CUGUGAACAUCUCAUCCUGGUUGGACGUAUCGAGAAGUUUAAACGAAGUCAAGUUUAGAUAUUUUUAUAAAAUAUAAAUAAAUUAAGAUAAACACAGAUUCUAAAUCAAUAUAAAAUAUGUUGAACCGCACGAAAAGAAAGGAGUAUUAUUAUGAUAAAUUACACAGAGGUUUUGUUAAUAUAUGUAUGGCGGCAACAGUAUUAACUGGAACACUUGUGUUAUAUUCAACGUAUCUUUAUUUCACACGUACUGUACCAGAAAAUAAAUUGAAGUUACAAGAAAAAGAAAAAGAGCUUUUGAGGGAAGGAAUGGACUUAGAAGAUACUGUAUCUACGUAAUAUUAAAAUAUGAUUAAAAUGUAGACAAUCAAGGAAAGUGUUACUUUUAUAGUUUAGGCACCGUCCACUUAAAAUCCUCUUUUUUCUGCAGAAAUAAAAAGUAGGAUAUAAAGUAUAUUUGUUAUCGUUGAAACAUUUGUAAAACUAAAGAAUUUUUAGAUAGCUUGUAGAUUAGUGCCAUAUAUUUUCCAAGUAUUUAAACAAAGGCAUAAAUCUGAUAUUAUUUGUACCAAUUUCAUGCAAUAAUAAUAAAUUUUUAAAAGUAUACUUCAUAAUGUAAUCUAAUGAUAAUAAAAUGAUUGAAACUUUAA